rnacentral:rRNA from 1 species
AGUCGAGCGAACGGAUAAGGAGCUUGCUCCUUUGAAGUUAGCGGCGGACGGGUGAGUAACACGUGGGUAACCUACCUAUAAGACUGGAAUAACUUCGGGAAACCGGAGCUAAUGCCGGAUAACAUAUAGAACCGCAUGGUUCUAUAGUGAAAGAUGGUUUUGCUAUCACUUAUAGAUGGACCCGCGCCGUAUUAGCUAGUUGGUAAGGUAAUGGCUUACCAAGGCGACGAUACGUAGCCGACCUGAGAGGGUGAUCGGCCACACUGGAACUGAGACACGGUCCAGACUCCUACGGGAGGCAGCAGUAGGGAAUCUUCCGCAAUGGGCGAAAGCCUGACGGAGCAACGCCGCGUGAGUGAUGAAGGUUUUCGGAUCGUAAAACUCUGUUAUUAGGGAAGAACAAAUGCGUAAGUAACUGUGCGCAUCUUGACGGUACCUAAUCAGAAAGCCACGGCUAACUACGUGCCAGCAGCCGCGGUAAUACGUAGGUGGCAAGCGUUAUCCGGAAUUAUUGGGCGUAAAGCGCGCGUAGGCGGUUUCUUAAGUCUGAUGUGAAAGCCCACGGCUCAACCGUGGAGGGUCAUUGGAAACUGGGAAACUUGAGUGCAGAAGAGGAAAGUGGAAUUCCAUGUGUAGCGGUGAAAUGCGCAGAGAUAUGGAGGAACACCAGUGGCGAAGGCGACUUUCUGGUCUGUAACUGACGCUGAUGUGCGAAAGCGUGGGGAUCAA